rnacentral:pre_miRNA from 1 species
AAUAAAUGAAAUUUGAGUUUUUUUAUAGAAUUUUUGACUUUUUGUCUUACUUGAUUUUUUUUAAGAUUAAUGUUUUUAUUGUUAUCACAUGAUAAAACAUAACUCGUACUUUACAUGUGACUAUUUUUUUCCAACUUUUUCAUAAAUUUUUCAAAUAAGACGGAUGGUCAAACGCCAAACUAAAAACUCAGAAGUGCUCUAGAA